GAUGAACGCUGGCGGCGUGCCUAAUACAUGCAAGUCGAGCGAACGGACGAGGAGCUUGCUUCUCUGAUGUUAGCGGCGGACGGGUGAGUAACACGUGGAUAACCUACCUAUAAGACUGGGAUAACUUCGGGAAACCGGAGCUAAUACCGGAUAAUAUUUUGAACCGCAUGGUUCAAAAGUGAAAGACGGUCUUGCUGUCACUUAUAGAUGGAUCCGCGCUGCAUUAGCUAGUUGGUAAGGUAACGGCUUACCAAGGCAACGAUGCAUAGCCGACCUGAGAGGGUGAUCGGCCACACUGGAACUGAGACACGGUCCAGACUCCUACGGGAGGCAGCAGUAGGGAAUCUUCCGCAAUGGGCGAAAGCCUGACGGAGCAACGCCGCGUGAGUGAUGAAGGUCUUCGGAUCGUAAAACUCUGUUAUUAGGGAAGAACAUAUGUGUAAGUAACUGUGCACAUCUUGUCGGUACCUAAUCAGAAAGCCACGGCUAACUACGUG
rnacentral:rRNA from 1 species